rnacentral:rRNA from 1 species
GAGUUGAUCCUGGCUCAGGAUGAACGCUGGCGGCGUGCUUAACACAUGCAAGUCGAACGUGAUCCGGAGCUUGCUCCGGUGAAAGUGGCGCACGGGUGAGUAACGCGUGGAUAAUCUGCCCUGGUAUCUGGGAUAACAUCUCGAAAGGGGUGCUAAUACCGGAUAAGCCUACGGACUCCUCGGAGUCUGCAGGAAAAGGUGGCCUCUAUUUAUAAGCUACCGUAUCAGGAUGAGUCCGCGUACCAUUAGCUAGUUGGUGGGGUAAUGGCCCACCAAGGCUACGAUGGUUAGCUGGUCUGAGAGGAUGAUCAGCCACACUGGAACUGAGACACGGUCCAGACUCCUACGGGAGGCAGCAGUGGGGAAUUUUGCGCAAUGGGGGAAACCCUGACGCAGCAACGCCGCGUGGGGGAUGAAGGCUUUCGGGUUGUAAAGCACUUUAAGUUGGGAGGAAGGGUAGUAACUUAAUACGUUGCUAUUUUGACGUUACCGACAGAAUAAGCACCGGCUAACUUCGUGCCAGCAGCCGCGGUAAUAC